UGGGGAAUUUUGGACAAUGGGCGCAAGCCUGAUCCAGCCAUGCCGCGUGCGGGAAGAAGGCCUUCGGGUUGUAAACCGCUUUUGUCAGGGAAGAAAUCUUCUGAGUUAAUACCUCGGGAGGAUGACGGUACCUGAAGAAUAAGCACCGGCUAACUACGUGCCAGCAGCCGCGGUAAUACGUAGGGUGCAAGCGUUAAUCGGAAUUACUGGGCGUGAAGCGUGCGCAGGCGGUUUUGUAAGACAGAGGUUGAAAUCCCCGGGCUCAACCUGGGAACUGCCUUUGUGACUGCAAGGCUUGAGUGCGGCAGAGGGGGGAUGGAAUUCCGCGUGUAGCAGUGAAAUGCGUAGAUAUGCGGAGGAACACCGAUGGCGAAGGCAAUCCCCUGGGCCUGCACUGACGCUCAUGCACAAAA
rnacentral:rRNA from 1 species